AAGCAACUUGUACUGUGAAACUGCGAAUGGCUCAUUAAAUCAGUUAUCGUUUAUUUGAUAGUACCUUACUACAUGGAUACCUGUGGUAAUUCUAGAGCUAAUACAUGCUAAAAACCCCGACUUCAGGAAGGGGUGUAUUUAUUAGAUAAAAAACCAACGCCCUUUCGGGGCUCCUUGGUGAAUCAUAAUAACUUAACGAAUCGCAUGGCCUUGCGCCGGCGAUGGUUCAUUCAAAUUUCUGCCCUAUCAACUUUCGAUGGUAGGAUAGUGGCCUACCAUGGUGGCAACGGGUAACGGGGAAUUAGGGUUCGAUUCCGGAGAGGGAGCCUGAGAAACGGCUACCACAUCCAAGGAAGGCAGCAGGCGCGCAAAUUACCCAAUCCCGAUACGGGGAGGUAGUGACAAUAAAUACUGAUACGGGGCUCUUUUGGGUCUCGUAAUUGGAAUGAGAACAAUUUAAAUCCCUUAACGAGGAACAAUUGGAGGGCAAGUCUGGUGCCAGCAGCCGCGGUAAUUCCAGCUCCAAUAGCGUAUAUUAAAGUUGUUGCAGUUAAAAAGCUCGUAGUUGAACCUUGGGUCUGGCUGGUCGGUCCGCCUCACCGCGAGUACUGAUCCGGCUGGACCUUUCCUUCUGGGGAACCUCAUGGCCUUCACUGGCUGUGGGGGGAACCAGGACUUUUACUGUGAAAAAAUUAGAGUGUUCAAAGCAGGCCUUUGCUCGAAUACAUUAGCAUGGAAUAAUAGAAUAGGACGUGCGGUUCUAUUUUGUUGGUUUCUAGGACCGCCGUAAUGAUUAAUAGGGAUAGUCGGGGGCGUCAGUAUUCAGCUGUCAGAGGUGAAAUUCUUGGAUUUGCUGAAGACUAACUACUGCGAAAGCAUUCGCCAAGGAUGUUUUCAUUAAUCAGGGAACGAAAGUUAGGGGAUCGAAGACGAUCAGAUACCGUCGUAGUCUUAACCAUAAACUAUGCCGACUAGGGAUCGGACGGGAUUCUAUAAUGACCCGUUCGGCACCUUACGAGAAAUCAAAGUUUUUGGUUCUGGGGGGAUAGGUCGCAAGGCUGAAC
rnacentral:rRNA from 1 species